rnacentral:rRNA from 1 species
UGGGGAAUAUUGCACAAUGGGGGAAACCCUGAUGCAGCGACGCCGCGUGAACGAAGAAGGUAUUCGUAUCGUAAAGUUCUGUCCUAUGGGAAGAUAAUGACAGUACCAUAGAAGAAAGCUCCAGCUAAAUACGUGCCAGCAGCCGCGGUAAUACGUAUGGAGCGAGCGUUGUCCGGAAUUAUUGGGCGUAAAGGGUACGCAGGCGGUUUAAUAAGUCGAAUGUUAAAGAUCGGGGCUCAACCCCGCAAAGCAUUGGAAACUGAUAAACUUGAGUAGUGGAGAGGAAAGUGGAAUUCCUAGUGUAGUGGUGAAAUACGUAGAUAUUAGGAGGAAUACCAGUAGCGAAGGCGACUUUCUGGACACAAACUGACGCUGAGGUACGAAAGCGUGGGGAGCAAACAGG